ACGUACACUCCUACGGGAGGCAGCAGUGGGGAAUAUUGGACAAUGGGCGCAAGCCUGAUCCAGCCAUGCCGCGUGAGUGAUGAAGGCCCUAGGGUUGUAAAGCUCUUUCACCGGAGAAGAUAAUGACGGUAUCCGGAGAAGAAGCCCCGGCUAACUUCGUGCCAGCAGCCGCGGUAAUACGAAGGGGGCUAGCGUUGUUCGGAAUUACUGGGCGUAAAGCGCACGUAGGCGGAUCGAUCAGUCAGGGGCGAAAUCCCAGGGCUCAACCCUGGAACUGCCUUUGAUACUGUCGAUCUGGAGUAUGGAAGAGGUGAGUGGAAUUCCGAGUGUAGAGGUGAAAUUCGUAGAUAUUCGGAGGAACACCAGUGGCGAAGGCGGCUCACUGGUCCAUUACUGACGCUGAGGUGCGAAAGCGUGGGGAGCAAACAGGAUUAGAAACCCGUGUAGUCCCA
rnacentral:rRNA from 1 species